UGCUCCAGCAGACAACAGCACCAAUCUGGCUCUGGUGGUACUGAUGAAUAUGAUGCAUCAUCUUUCAGGAUCCCAUAGAUUAAAACACACAGAAUCCAGGACACUUUCUAUGUGAAGAAAAAGAGCACCUGUGAAGGGUAUUCAUCCCUCUGUGACUGAAGAAUUUAUUGUCCUUCCAGUCCUAUUUCAAAUGGAACUGAGAAACUAUGCCUAGAAGUUUUCUUAUUUGUUUCCUAACCUGAGACUGAAUCCUUUUGGAAAGAUGGAGUCAAAGGGAACUUUUUAAGCUGUACAGCCAUUUGCUCGAGUCUCUUUUGAGCUGUAUCCAUCUUCUUCUCUUCUAAACACUGGACAAAUGAGAGGGGGAAGAGAUGAGAGGCCCAAAGUACUUAACCUUGCUGGAGGAUGGGGUGGUUGAGGAGAGAUGAGUUAGAGGUUCAUGGAGAUAAUGGAACCAAAACAAGGGAAUGAAACAACAGCGAAGUGGGAAGAAAAAAAGAGGCAGUACUGCUGUUGAAAUGGUCAUAGAAGUCCUUUGUAAUUUUAGCCUCGGUUAAAUCAUCACAGAGACCCACAAUGUAUAAUCGGGGAAAGUCUCAGUGAGGGUGAUCUUCCUAUCUUGAAAUCUAUAUUCUCCUUCUCCACAUUGCUGUCUCACUCUGG
rnacentral:lncRNA from 1 species